GACGAACCGUGCAAACGUUGUUCGGAAUCACUGGGCUUAAAGGGCGCGUAGGCGGGCUCGCAAGUCUGUGGUGAAAGCCUCCAGCUUAACUGGAGAAGUGCCGUGGAUACUGCGGGUCUUGAGCAGGGUAGGGGCAUCUGGAACUGCCGGUGGAGCGGUGAAAUGCGUUGAUAUCGGCAGGAACUCCGAUGGCGAAAGCAAGGUGCUGGACCCUUUCUGACGCUGAGGCGCGAAAGCCAGGGGAGCAAAC
rnacentral:rRNA from 1 species